rnacentral:rRNA from 1 species
UACAGAGGUCUCAAGCGUUGUUCGGAUUCAUUGGGCGUAAAGGGUGCGUAGGCGGCGUGGUAAGUCGGGUGUGAAAUCUCGGAGCUUAACUCCGAAACUGCAUUCGAUACUGCCGUGCUUGAGGACUGGAGAGGAGACUGGAAUUUACGGUGUAGCGGUGAAAUGCGCAGAUAUCAGGAGGAACACCAAUGGCGAAGGCAGCUCGCUGGGACGUGACUGACGCUGAGACGCGAAAGCGUGGGGAGCAAACAGG